rnacentral:ncRNA from 2 species
AUCUUAUCAAGAGUGGUUGAGGGACUGGCCCUAUGAAACCCAGCAGCCUACACUAAGGUGUAAGGUGCUAACCUGUGGCAAGAUACAAAGGUAUCUUGAGCGAUAAGAG